UUUUCACGUUGAUUAGACUGAGAAGGAGAAAGAGAAAAAGUUGGUUUUGCUGUUUCAGGGAUGGCGGAGGCAGAAGAAACCAUGCAGUUUAAACCCGUGUUGUUCAAGGGUCGACUGUAAAGCAACUCCAAAAUCACAGCAACAUAACACAACUAAGGGUUUACACUACUUGAUGUACAGAGAUUAGAGCACUGUGAGAAAAUAAUCAUGUUCAU
rnacentral:lncRNA from 1 species